AGAGUUUGAUCAUGGCUCAGAGCGAACGCUGGCGGCAGGCUUAACACAUGCAAGUCUAACGGACGCAGCAAUGCGUCAGUGGCAGACGGGUGAGUAACACGUGGGAACGUGCCCUUCGGUUCGGAACAACCCAGGGAAACUUGGGCUAAUACCGGAUACGUCCGCAAGGAGAAAGAUUUAUCGCCGAAGGAUCGGCCCGCGUCUGAUUAGCUUGUUGGUGAGGUAACGGCUCACCAAGGCGACGAUCAGUAGCUGGUCUGAGAGGAUGAUCAGCCACACUGGGACUGAGACACGGCCCAGACUCCUACGGGAGGCAGCAGUGGGGAAUAUUGGACAAUGGGCGCAAGCCUGAUCCAGCCAUGCCACGUGGGUGAUGAAGGCCUUAGGGUUGUAAAGCCCUUUCGGCGGGGAAGAUAAUGACGGUACCCGCAGAAGAAGCCCCGGCUAACUUCGUGCCAGCAGCCGCGGUAAUACGAAGGGGGUUAGCGUUGCUCGGAAUCACUGGGCGUAAAGCGCACGUAGGCGGAUUGCUAAGUCAGGGGUGAAAUCCUGGAGCUCAACUCCAGAACUGCCCUUGAUACUGGCGACCUUGAGUCCGGGAGAGGUGAGUGGAACUGCGAGUGUAGAGGUGAAAUUCGUAGAUAUUCGCAAGAGCACCAGUGGCGAAAACGGCUCACUGGCCCGGUACUGACGCUGAGGUGCGAAAGCGUGGGGAGCAAACAGGAUUAGAUACCCUAGUAGUCC
rnacentral:rRNA from 1 species